AGUGAACGCUGGCGGUAGGCCUAACACAUGCAAGUCGAACGGCAGCACAGUAAGAGCUCGCUCUUACGGGUGGCGAGUGGCGGACGGGUGAGGAAUACAUCGGAAUCUACUUUUUCGUGGGGGAUAACGUAGGGAAACUUACGCUAAUACCGCAUACGACCUACGGGUGAAAGCAGGGGAUCUUCGGACCUUGCGCGAUCGAAUGAGCCGAUGUCGGAUUAGCUAGUUGGCGGGGUAAAGGCCCACCAAGGCGACGAUCCGUAGCUGGUCUGAGAGGAUGAUCAGCCACACUGGAACUGAGACACGGUCCAGACUCCUACGGGAGGCAGCAGUGGGGAAUAUUGGACAAUGGGCGCAAGCCUGAUCCAGCCAUACCGCGUGGGUGAAGAAGGCCUUCGGGUUGUAAAGCCCUUUUGUUGGGAAAGAAAAGCAGCAGGUUAAUACCCCGCUGUUCUGACGGUACCCAAAGAAUAAGCACCGGCUAACUUCGUG
rnacentral:rRNA from 1 species